rnacentral:rRNA from 1 species
UAAGCAUAUCAAUAAGCGGAGGAAAAGAAACCAACAGGGAUUGCCCUAGUAACGGCGAGUGAAGCGGCAACAGCUCAAAUUUGAAAUCUGGCUCUUUCAGAGUCCGAGUUGUAAUUUGCAGAGGGCGCUUUGGCUUUGGCAGCGGUCCAAGUUCCUUGGAACAGGACGUCACAGAGGGUGAGAAUCCCGUACGUGGUCGCUAGCUAUUGCCGUGUAAAGCCCCUUCGACGAGUCGAGUUGUUUGGGAAUGCAGCUCUAAAUGGGAGGUAAAUUUCUUCUAAAGCUAAAUACUGGCCAGAGACCGAUAGCGCACAAGUAGAGUGAUCGAAAGAUGAAAAGCACUUUGGAAAGAGAGUCAAACAGCACGUGAAAUUGUUGAAAGGGAAGCGCUUGCAGCCAGACUUGCUUGCAGUUGCUCAUCCGGGCUUUUGCCCGGUGCACUCUUCUGCAGGCAGGCCAGCAUCAGUUUGGGCGGUGGGAUAAAGGUCUCUGUCACGUACCUCUCUUCGGGGAGGCCUUAUAGGGGAGGCGACAUACCACCAGCCUGGACUGAGGUCCGCGCAUCUGCUAGGAUGCUGGCGUAAUGGCUGUAAGCGGCCCGUCUUGAAACACGGACCAAGGAGUCUAACAUCUAUGCGAGUGUUUGGGUGUCAAGCCCGAACGCGUAAUGAAAGUGAACGGAGGUGGGAACCCGCAAGGGUGCACCAUCGACCGAUCCUGAUGUCUUCGGAAGGAUUUGAGUAAGAGCAUGGCUGUUGGGACCCGAAAGAUGGUGAACUAUGCUUGAAUAGGGUGAAGCCAGAGGAAACUCUGGUGGAGGCUCGCAGCGGUUCUGACGUGCAAAUCGAUCGUCAAAUUUGGGCAUAGGGGCGAAAGACUAAUCGAACUAUCUAGUAGCUGGUUCCUGCCGAA